GCAACUCAAACACAAAACACACAACCUUUCAGUGUUACACACAACUUUCUUCCCUUUCACUUAUUUUUGUUAAGAACAUCUCUCUCUCUCUCUCUCUCUCUCUCUCUCUCUCUCUCUCUCUCUUAUACGGUGAGUGUUAGAGUUUGAUUCUGUUUGUAUUAUUUCUUCUCAUUCCUUCUUUUGAUUGUGUUGUUGGCCAGUGAAUCUAAAUUCUUUUUUUUCUCUUUUGUUUCUCAACUUAUUUUGCAGGAAAAUGAUUGAUGAUUAAUCAAUUAAUCAGUAAUUCUUGAAGGAGCUAAGUGAUUUAUAUUUCUUCAAUUUUAUAACAAAAGAAAAAAGGUUGGUUGGAUUUCAUUAUAAAUUAAUUAGUAAUUCAACAAUAUGUACUAGUAAGAGUGAAGAAACCCUGUUUUGAGUUUUGAUUUUUCUAUAUUUACUGUUUAAUAAUUGAUUAUUAUUUAUUGAAUUGUUUGGAUGAUUGAUCUCGGUGGAAUAAUAUUUAUAAAUUAUGAUUGAUAAAAUAAUAAUAAUGAUAUGAGGGUCGAAUUGGAAUAAAAAAUUUCAAAACUUUUAUUCUAUAUAUUAUGGAUUUUUUUUUUUACAAGUCUUAAAAAAAAAAAAAAUGAUUUAGGGUUUUAUAUAUCUCAGUAGAUUGGAUUCAGAUUGCCAAUUAUUGGGAAUAACUACUUGUGGGAAUUUUUAUAGUUGAAAAUAUUCCCACAUAAAAUAAUUCCCACUAAUGGGUCGUUUGAUUGGACAUAAAAACACAAGGAAAAUUUUAUGUGGGAAAGAUUUUAGUUAUUUGAUUAGACAUAAAAACAUGAGGAAAAUUUUAUGUGGGAAAGAUUUUAGUUGUUUGAUUAGACAAAAAAAUAUUCCCUUAUAAGUUUGGGAAUUUUUUUUAGGGGUGGGUCAAGGAAAGAUUCAUGAGAAAUAUUUUUAUUAUGGAAUUUUUACAUGACCCAACUUUACCAAUCAAACAGGCAUCUGGGAAUUUUUUGGGUAAUGUUUGAUGUGGGAAUUUUUCCCACGACCAAUCAAACAGACCCAUUGUUUUAGAUCAUGUAGGGUUUGUAUGUUAGUUGUGGAUUUGUGUAAGAACCAGAUAACUAAUAAUCAAAUCAAAUAGAUUGAUUGAUUGAAAACCCUACUUUCAUAGGUCCUGCAAUUCAGCCUAUAACACCUUGGCCCAUUAUAACACCUUGGCCCAUGAACAUGAUUUUUUGUAUUAUCACUUAACCAAAAGUUGACGUACAUAUGCCGGCCAUAGUAGCUACAUUAUUCUGUAAAUUUAAAUUUUGGAUUAGUUCUUUAGUUGUGAUUUUACUUAAGGCACCAGAUUUUGCCAAGCGUACAAUUAUGGUAUAACAAAAAUACCCUCACCUUCUUCACUAACAUGAUUCAUCUUCAUGAACCCUAAUAUAUAUAAUCUAAAUUACUUUUUAAUCAAAAGAAAAUAUAUAUUAAUUGAUAAAAAUAGUUUUUAAAGUCAAAAACUGAUAUAGACAUGAGCCACAACAACCUCCCUUUCUUUUUCUCUCUUUGAUCUAUAUUUUUAAUUCAUAUAAGUUCAUAACUUUUUCUUGACUACUACCGGUUUAGAUAAACAAUUGAAUGACUCAUUAUUUAUUACCCCCCCCCCCCCCCUAUCUAUUUAAGAGAGGGACUUAUCUAAACAAAUGUUUAAGCAAUUCCGAGAGAUACAUCACUUUUAAGUAUAAUUCUAAGUAAUUAAACCCCAAAAUAUCAUACAAAUUGAGUCUCAAUGAUCAAAUGAUAUACUUAAACAUAUUUGAUAAACCAUACAAAUAGUGGAUUUCUGAAUUCUGAUAUAUACACUGAAGAUUAAUUUAGAACAAUUAAUUUCUUUUAUGAUGUAUAUACAGAAUAUUAGUUAGGAACAAGAGUUUGGAAGAGAUAGAACCAUGAAGGGUACCUUUGCCCAUAUUAAAAUUAAACCGGCCUUUGGCAAAAACAGUUUUACCCUAGGCAAAAUCUGGAGCCUUACUUAGAUAUGAUUUUCUUUUUUUUUUUUUAAUAUUUGAGCCUGGUCUGAAAAUCAUUAUGCCCAGGACGGGAUAUGAGCCAAUUCCCUUCAGCCUGUCUUAUCCAAAACCUGAUUUGCCCAAGUUGAUCACUAAUCAGUAUUGAAAAAUUCAACAAUUACAUUUGUUGAUAACCUCUAACAACUAGUAUGCGAAUGCCAAUCCUAGGUGCACCAAGGGCCUCAUUUCAAAAGCUUCUAAUAUUAGGACUAACCACUACGGUGAGGGGGGAGGGGGAGUAUGUGCUAGAGUCAAAGUAGAAAUGGAGAGACAGUGGUACUCACGGUUGGAUGACUCUUUUACUGAGCUUGUAACUAUUUAUGGUUGACAUAUUCACUUUCUCUAACUAUCCAUAACUAAAAUCUUGGUUUUCUCUAACUUCCAUGGCUAGUGAAAAUAGGAUAUGUAAUGGAGGAAAUCAAUCACCUAACAUGACUUGGUAACAAGGUUAUUUCCAGUCUCUAUUUUCGUAUACCAAGAGACUAUUGGCUGGAAUCCCUCACUGUGGAAAACACAGUGUUUUUGUGCGAUAAAGAGUCGGAAUCGGCAGUAGGUGAUGAGUUAGAAAUAUAUAUUUGGCGAGAAAUAGUUUGCUCAUGAUUUUUUUUUUUUUUUUUAGUUUAUGCUUAUUGACUUAUGAAUAUAUGUUAUGUUGUUGGAACACUUUGUGGACGAUCUACUAAAAGUACCUUAAGAUAAGAUCUUAAAUGUUUAUUUUUAUCAUGCAUUAGUAAAAUUCCCAUCAAUAGCUCUGACAUUCCUUCGUUUAAUUUGUUUCUCACAAAAUGCAUUUUUUAUAUAUAAAAUCUAAUAUAAAGAUCUAACUUUUAUUUAUUAAUUUCAUUACUGUUUUCAUUUAGUAUUUUUUUUCUUUUCCAUGUCUAUGACUAUUGGUUUUUUAAAAAUAGUCACUUACAUAAUAGAAAAUACUCAAAAAUAUUUAUGCUCAUUAGUACACUACUUUGAUUUUUACAAGUUUGACUAUAAUAGAAUGAGUUAUUAGCUCAUAAGCAACUUGAAUAUAAUAGAUCAACAUCAAAGCCAUUGUGUGGUGUUCUGGGGGUCAUACACAUAAUAGUGACUAUCAUUUCGAUGACCACAUGAGAAACUGGGAUAUGAUCAUAACUCCUUAGUGUUAUUGUCUUUAUAUCUGCAGUCUUGUUUGCAUGUCUCAAGCACUAUAUACUUAUAAUGGUUGUCUAUAACCUGACCAGAGCAGCUCACAGUGGCAGUUUUUCCCACUGUCAUGUAUUAUCACUACCAAAAAAUAGGAUAUUUGCCACUGCAUCCGGGUUUUUUUGCCAUGGCCCAUAGCAGUGACAAAUUUGGGUCUGCUAUAGACCGUGGGUAAACUUAAUUGGGCCGUGGGAACCAAAAUAACAGUCCAACACCAAUCCGAUUUUUCCAGUGUUUUUAUUUUUGUAGCCGUGGGUAAUAUAAUUCCUUCUUUCUUGUCGAUCUGAUUCUCUUCUUCAUCUUCAUCGGCGAUCUCUCGAUCUCAAUCUCAAGAGAUCGAGAAGAAAAACAUUGAACACUCGAUCUCUCAAUCUCCAAUCUCUUCUUAUCAUUCUCUUCUUCACCAUCGAUCUCUCAAUCUCCAAUCUCUUCUUCCUCAUCAACCUUCCACAUCGAUCACAAGAGAAAAAGUUAUCUUCAAAGUUCAAAUCUCAAGAGAGAGGCGAAGUUCUCUUCAGACGAAAUUGGAGUUUUUAGUUUUGCUUCGCACUUUCUCUCCUUAAGGUAUUUCGAAUUGAACGAUUGUUUAUGAUUUUCAAUUGAUUUCCAGCUUCAUUCUUCUCUCAAUUGUUUAUGAUUGUUUAUGACUUAGGGUUCUAAAUCAAAGGUUUUAUCAAUCUCUAUUGUUUAUGUAAAGUUUUGUUGAUUGAAUUUCACUGAUUGCAGUUUAUCGACUUAUAAAUGUGAUUGAGAUUGUUAGGUUUAAUGGUCAUUAUACAUAUGAUUUGAUAUGGUUAGGUUCAAUGAUCAACAAAUGUUCUUAAAACCUGGAUCCAAAUUCCAAAUACUGUGCAUUUGCCUCAUAAAUACCUUUUUUUCUAGUCACAAUUUUAUUCAAAACACAGUUGUUAAAUGCCUGGUGCGCUGUUUUUUGUCCCACGAUGGUCCUUGAUCUGCCUGGUGCGCUAUUUCAAUUGUACAUUUGUCUUCAUCAAAACUGCUAUAUAUCACCAUCAUCACAAGGAGAGUAGUAAUACUGCACAUGUCUGCCUUACUUAGCUGAUUGAUUGAGAUUAGUUUCUAGAUAUCAGUAUACUUAUGAAGUUUGAGAUGGUUCAAGGAAUGUAUGUGUAGACUAGUAUCUACAAGUGUCUGUUUCAUGAGUAAGAGAGUGAUCUUCUAGAACUAGGCCCUGAACCCAAUAUACAAUGACCUGCCUUUAUUAGUUUUCUUUUGAUUUGUAAUAGUCUUAUUCUUUCAUCUGAUGCAACAUUCAGAUUUAGAAUUCCAAGAAACCGCUUUGGAAAUAGAAGAUUUGGGCCCUGUUCGGUUGUAGAAAAAUGAGCUUGUUUUCCAAAAAAUGUUUUUCGUAGAUAACAAAAAACAGAGAACCUGUUCGCUUGUACUUCCUUUUCAGAUUUUAGAAAUGGGUUUUCAGUUUUCUAAAAAGUUUCCAUUUUCUGUUUUGGCUUAUAGACGGAAAACUCUAAAACGACAUUUUCUAAAUUAUAGAAAACACGAGUUAAGGUUAAGUCCUCCAUCAAAAUAUAUAUCUCUCGUCGCUCUCCGAAGGUUCUCUACUAUGUUUGAAAGCCAUCAUAUGACCAAAAAUCACGCAUUGAAGUUAUACACCUGAUGUUUCUAAUUAAAUCUUGUUCUUUCAAAUGCUGAAAUAAUAAGUCACCCAUUUGAUUUUGCAAUCUUUAGCAAUGAAAUAAAUAAUUCUUAUGUAGAAUCUAGCCUAUUGACGACAAACUAGAAAUUUUUUAAAUUAAAUUGCUUGUUAUAUUUUUGUCUGAUAUGAUUAUUUAUGUCAUUUAUAUGCAUGUAUGACUAUUUCUUAUUGUUUUUGUGAAAUUCAUCGUUUUAUUGGUAGAGAAUUUUGUUUGUUUGAAUAUUGGUCUUACGUGGUAAAAGCUACAAAUUUACCUCAUAUUAAAGUUUACACUAUUUAUAUGUAUGUAGAUUCAUCAUGGAGAGGCUUAAUUCUAUUGACAAAAGUUGGAUACCAUUAGAUGUCAAUGACUCGCAUUUUAUUGGAGGUCUUGAAUUGUUUAUUGACUUUGCCGUAAAACAUUGUCGGGGUUGUAUAUGCAGCUCUCAAUCUGAUUUAGAAGCUACUCUCUUUAAGGUACCUAUUUUCUCUCUUCUGUUAUAGUUAUGUUAAGAAAGAUAUGAAGUUAUCUAUGCAUGUUGUAUUGGUUGAAGACUACUUUCCAAGAAGCCUCGUGCCAUUAAGGAAGUAUAUUGUUUCCUUUCUUUGUCAUUCAAAUGCAUGAUUUAUAGUCAUUCUGUUAUUAGUUUCUUGAUGAUUGUGAAGUGAUUGUUUUAAAAGAUCUUCUCCAUUAAAUUUUACUUGUCAGAGUAUCAAAUAGUUACAUUUAUAGAGCAAUAAACACAAUUCAUACUUUAUAGGUACCUUAAUAAUUGUAGGAACUUUAGCAAUAAACUCAAUCCAUACUUUAUAGGUACCUUGAUAAUUGUAGGAACUUUAGCAAUAAACGCAAUCCAUACUUAAUAUAGAGCUCUUGUUACUGGAAAUUCCAUUGUUUUGCACGGAGAUUUGCAUAAGUACUUAAGAUAUGAGGUAGAUAGGAGCUGAGGACAACACUUUGCUCCCAACUGGUAUAGAGCGAAGGUUUUUCGUUUUACUAUACAAUACUAUCACUAUUCCUUGUAAUUUAGGUUUGACGAGGUUUUUCUUGGUUUGAGGGUCACAUACACGUUGCAUAAUGUGUGUUUAUAGAGGAAAAGGUAGGCCAUCUUCUACAUAAGCUGUUUUGAAUAAAGAGUCGUUGUUUGGUAGUUAGGUGUGCUGCUAAUUCUAUGGUCCAUAUGUGUUGUCAAUCUAGGAAACUGGUCUAUAUAAUUUUGUACUUCCUUUAAAAAAACUCCACAUGUAAGUAUGCGUGAUAGUUUUGAUGGUUCCAAUCCAUGUCUAUUUGAUUUCACAAAGUACUUUUAUUUGUUCUUAAUAUUGAGAGGGCGAUCAAAACAAAGUUGGAGGGUGAAAUUUAGAGUUUCAUUCUUUGCAGUUCUCCUCUUGUUUACACUUCACCUAGCUAAUAAUAUUAUCACACCCCCCUAUUUGAUAAGUUACCUAAUAAUUUGGAUGAAGAUAUUUGUGGCUGCUUCUUGUCCUGGUCUCGUCACUUUAUUUCUCACGCAAAACGUAUAUGUAGUUGCUUGACUUUCAUUAAUCAUUAUUAGUAAGAAUUAAUUCUUUUGAGUUUUGCACUCUAUUCUUACUCUGUUGUAUAAUGGCAGUACAGAACCUUCCAUUCAUUGAGAACAUGGAGAAAAGGAUUCAGAGUGCAAGCUCAAUGUUUUUACCUACUGCUUAAUACAGAACUGGGAGACGUUGGUGGUUGACGCGUGGUAGGGGUGACUGCUCUCUGUUCACUAGAACAUGCCAAUAUUGCUGCAGACCAAAAGAAAGGAGGCAGGACAUAAUUGUUCACUAAAAACAGGCCAAUAUUGCUGCAGACCAAAGGAAGGGAUUUGUAGGAUAGCUUUUGAUGGUUGCGAACUGUCACAAGAACGUAAUUGUUUUGCACUCCAUUUUAUUUCAUUGGUGUAAUUGUUUAAAGUUGAUGAUAUACAUGUUGUUGUUGUAACCAUUUAUUUUGGAAUUUUGUCUUAAAUGUUUGAGAAGAUAAAGUAAAAUGUUUUCUCUUUUGGAAUUGCAUCAGGCACUGGCAGUACUGAAAUAUUGAAAAUGUGAAUGUAGGAAUUUUUUUUUUUUU
rnacentral:lncRNA from 1 species